UACGAGGGGGGCAAGCGUUGUUCGGAAUUAUUGGGCGUAAAGGGCGCGUAGGCGGUGCGGUAAGUCACCUGUGAAAUCCCUAGGCUUAACCUAGGGGCUGCUAGCGAAACUGCCGUGCUAGAGUGUGAGAGAGGCGAGUGGAAUUACGGGUGUAGCGGUGAAAUGCGUAGAUAUCCGUAGGAACAUCCGAGGCGAAAGCGGCUCGCUGGAUCACAACUGACGCUGAGAGACGAAAGCUAGGGGAGCAAACAG
rnacentral:rRNA from 1 species